ACUCCUCCUGUGACCUUUCAAGGCUUGGGAGCACCGCAUCAACUUCUACACCUGACUCUGACCGACCAAGCCUCCCAUUUAUGUUUUCGAAGCUCUCCUACAUGCACGGCCUCUGAUAGCUCUGAAAUUGCCUAUAGGAGCCUCCAAAAUUGUCACAGCCUCCAUCAUCACCGAUCUUGCCUAGAUUUGAGCCUCCGAAGUCUCCCCGUAAGGUCUUCACCUCCAUAGUGCUGAUCAAUCAU
rnacentral:lncRNA from 1 species